rnacentral:tRNA from 1 species
GGAAGGGUACAGCUCAGUGGAAGAGCGUGUGUUUAGCACGCAUGAGGUCCUGGGUUCAAUCCCCAGUACCUCCA